rnacentral:ncRNA from 2 species
UGUUUCGAGGAGCGUUGCAAGGCCGGUGGCUCCCACCCGCCCCAGGCUCGAAACCCUCACAAGGCAACGGCGCUCACCCGCU